ensembl:lincRNA
CUUACAACCAGGCAGCCAGGUGGCGUAUGUCCUUGUUUCCAGAGAGGCAGGACAAAGAGAAGAAGGUCAUUAAAGCUAUGAUAUUUGGUGUCUCCGAGAGGAAAGGAAGGGUGGUUUCCUGGACUGUAAGGAUUCAGGGAAGCUGGUGCUGAAGCUCUUGAGAACUUUGAACCACUUAAGGGCAGCACUCUGGCUCAGAGAAGAAUGCAGAUGAGGACAUAGAAAGAUGAACUUAAAGCUGAAAACUGAACUUAAAGCUGGAAAAAAUGAAGCAAUCUCAGCUAUGAUAGCUGUAAUAGAAAAAUGGAGUUUUCCUCAGUUUUUCUUCCUCAGAAUAAAUGGGAUGAUCCUGAUGGCUGUUUAAGUGGAGAGGAUUUGUUUGUGCAGGCUCAUGACAGGAGACUGAAGCAGGAGAGAGGGGCAUACAGCAGAAAACAUGGAAACUUCCACCUGCUGUUUCCAUUGCAUUUUUGCAAGUCUUCCUGUGUGUCAGGAAGAGCUGUCACAUCAAGGUUUUGUCAUGUGCUAGGCACUGCACAAAGCACUUGAAUGACAUCCUUGAAACUUUUCCCAUACUGAUCAUACUGGAGGAUGUCCAGAGAAAUACAGAAAAGUGGUUUGGAGGGGAGUAGCUGAUGGUAAGUUAAAUAAAUAAUAAUAAAAUUAGCCAGACUUGGUGGUGCAUGCCUGUGGUCUCAGCCACUUCGGAGGCUGAGGUGGGAAGAUUGCUUGGACCUGAGAGGUCAAGGCUUCAGUGAGCUGUGAUCCUGCCACUGCACUCCACCCUGAGCAACAGAGUGAGACUCUGUCUGAAAAAUAAAUAACUACACAAAUAAUAUUGAUCAAUAACAGAUACAAGACCACUAUGACAUUGGAAAAGAUAGCAGAAUUAGGAUACAAAUGUAUGACAGGCUGGAACCAUGAACCAUCACCAGUAAGAAUAUAUCUUAGAUCACUGAAUGAAUGUAUGGAUAUUUUCUUAGUUUCAAAAAUACAACUGCAUAUGUCUAUUAGGGGAGCAUAGCUUAGCAGCCAGUAGCACAGAUAGAAAGAUCUAGGAGAUUUCCUGAGUGCAAGUUAUUACAUGGUGUGUGUAGCUGCCAAAAUAUUGACUGUGAUCUUUGGUUGCAUUGACAAAGCCCGAGGUGCUCUAUCUAUUCUGCGGAGUAUUUUCUUUCAGAUGCAGCAUUUAACGAGAAAAGUACGUGAAAGAGUUUGUUCAGAGGACAGCUAUCUGGCUUUUGAUGGGACUUCAAACCACGUCAGAUGUGGAGCUAAUAAAGAAAGGUAGGCUGCUUAGAUUGAAGAAGGGACUGAGCGAAUGAGAGGGAGAGAGAAACAGAAACAGAGAGAGAGAGAGAGAGAGAGAGUGUGUGUGUGUGUGUGUGUGUUGGGUGGGUGGGAAGAGAUAGGAAGGGCUUGAGCAUUGCCCUCCGAAUUCUGAAGAGUUUAAGAGAAAAUCAGCAUCCUCUUUAUACCAGUGGAGGCCAAGGCAAAGCCCAGGAGGUGGUAUUUACAGGUAGAUCGAGUUCAGUUCAGAUUAGGGAAGUAUUUUCAAACAUUUGGAACAACUGCCAGACUAAUGAGUUGUUCCAGUAGAGCUUUCAAAGUGUUUUCUUUUGAAAAUUCCUUAAUUUUAUAAAUUUAAACCUGUACCUUUAAAUCAUAAUAUUUGAGCAAUGGUCAGUAGAUGGCGGUAGGAUACCAUGGAUUUUACCAGUGGCAGCUGGAAUUUCACCCUUCAAUAUGCUGGAAGUAGAUGAUUUUUUUCUAAUUAUUAUUGGAAGGUGUAUCCUAAUCUAUUGUUCAGAGAGAAAUUGCUGAUUUGAAAAACAGGAAAUAAUACUUCCUAAUUAAAUAGACGAUAAUGAGUAACAAAUACUUUUAUGUUGCCUGAAUGCUACCAUGCUGUUUCUUUAUUGGCCUCUAGAAAUUUGUGGUAGGAAGUGUGUGUGUGUGUGUGUGUGUGUGUGUGUAAAUGAAAGGUCUGGUUUGUUUUAAAUAAUUCCAAAAUGUAAUAUACUAAUUUUGUGUAAAAU